rnacentral:misc_RNA from 1 species
UUACCCAGCACCCACCACGAGGAGGUUGCUCUUCAAGGGUGCCUCCUAAACUUCAGUCUCAAGUAAAAACUUCUCUUUCUAUGACUACUGAGGAAGUUGCUGAGGCUGAUGCUGAUUGUGAUGCUGAUAGUCAUGCCGAUGAUGAUGAUGAUGAUGAUGAUGAUGACUGUCCACCUGCGAUGUAGGAUAAGACAUCUCACACCCUCUUGAACUGGAUCUAACUCUCUGAAACACAGAUGUAGUUUAUCAAUGUUGUAUUCGUCAAAAUAUAUAUUUACUUUUAAA